UAGCUAUUUAGGUUAGAGUUUGAUCAUGGCUCAGAUUGAACGCUGGCGGCAUGCUUUACACAUGCAAGUCGAGCGGCAGCGCGGGGGCAACCCUGGCGGCGAGCGGCGAACGGGUGAGGAAUGCAUCGGAACGUGUCCCGUAGAGGGGGAUAGCUCGGCGAAAGCCGGAUUAAUACCGCAUAUGCUCUACGGAGGAAAGCCGGGGACCCGCAAGGGCCUGGCGCUAUGGGAGCGGCCGAUGCCCGAUUAGCUUGUUGGUGAGGUAAAGGCUUACCAAGGCGACGAUCGGUAGCUGGUCUGAGAGGAUGAUCAGCCACACUGGGACUGAGACACGGCCCAGACUCCUACGGGAGGCAGCAGUGGGGAAUUUUGGACAAUGGGGGAAACCCUGAUCCAGCCAUGCCGCGUGAGUGAAGAAGGCCUUCGGGUUGUAAAGCUCUUUUGGCCGGGAAGAAAGGAUUCGGGCGAAUAACCUGGAUCUUUGACGGUACCGGCAGAAUAAGCACCGGCUAACUACGUGCCAGCAGCCGCGGUAAUGUCGGGCCC
rnacentral:rRNA from 1 species